AUUGAACGCUGGCGGCAUGUCUUACACAUGCAAGUCGAACGGUAACAGGUCUUCGGAUGCUGACGAGUGGCGAACGGGUGAGUAAUACAUCGGAACGUGCCCGAUCGUGGGGGAUAACGAGGCGAAAGCUUUGCUAAUACCGCAUACGAUCUACGGAUGAAAGCGGGGGAUCUUCGGACCUCGCGCGGACGGAGCGGCCGAUGGCAGAUUAGGUAGUUGGUGGGAUAAAAGCUUACCAAGCCGACGAUCUGUAGCUGGUCUGAGAGGAUGAUCAGCCACACUGGGACUGAGACACGGCCCAGACUCCUACGGGAGGCAGCAGUGGGGAAUUUUGGACAAUGGGCGAAAGCCUGAUCCAGCCAUGCCGCGUGCAGGAUGAAGGCCUUCGGGUUGUAAACUGCUUUUGUACGGAACGAAAAGCCUCUUUCUAAUAAAGAGGGGUCAUGACGGUACCGUAAGAAUAAGCACCGGCUAACUACGUG
rnacentral:rRNA from 1 species